rnacentral:rRNA from 1 species
ACGUAGGGGGCGAGCGUUAUUCGGAAUUACUGGGUGUAAAGGGUAUGUAGGCGGCGCUUCAAGUCGCGUGUCAAAGUCCAGUGCUCAACGCUGGGGGUGCGCGCAAUACUGACUGUCUUGAGGGCUGGAGAGGUGAGCGGAAUUCCCGGUGUAGUGGUAAUAUGCGUAGAGAUCGGGAGGAACACCAGUGGCGAAGGCGGCUCACUGGGCAGUAUCUGACGCUGAGACACGAAAGUGUGGGGAGCAAACAG